UGAGGAAUAUUGGUCAAUGGGCGAGAGCCUGAACCAGCCAAGUAGCGUGCAGGAUGACAGCCCUAUGGGUUGUAAACUGCUUUUAUGUGGGGAUAAAGUGCGUGACGUGUCAUGCAUUGCAGGUACCACAUGAAUAAGGACCGGCUAAUUCCGUGCCAGCAGCCGCGGUAAUACGGAAGGUCCGGGCGUUAUCCGGAUUUAUUGGGUUUAAAGGGAGCGUAGGCUGUCUAUUAAGCGUGUUGUGAAAUUUACCGGCUCAACCGGUGGCUUGCAGGGCGUACUGGUCGAAUUGAGUAUGCAGGAAGUAGGCGGAAUUCAUGGUGGAGCGGUGAAAUGCUUAGAUAUCAAGACGAACUCCGAAUGCGCAGGCAGCUUAAUGUAGCAUAACUGACGCUGAUGCUUGAAAGUGCGGGUAUCAAACAGG
rnacentral:rRNA from 1 species